rnacentral:lncRNA from 1 species
CAAAUGGGCUAAGAACUAGGAAACAUUGCGUUGAACCACUAAAUGACUUAUCUAGUUUUGUUUGGGGUUAGAAUAUGUUAGAAUACAAUAUAUUUGAUUGAUUUCAAGUGCUAGAUAUGCAUGAAGAGUGUUUAAAAGUGUGUAGAGAGACUUGCUGAAAUUUGGUCCAAAAUGGGCUAAGAACCCACAACUAUUGCUUUGAAGCAUUAAAUGGCUUUUAUAGUGUUGUUUGGGGUUUGAAUAUGUUAGAAUACAAUGAAUUUGAUUGAUUCCAAGUGCUAGAGAUUCAUGAAGAGUGUUUAAAAGUGUGUAGAGAGACUUGCUGAAAUUUGGUCCAAAAUGGGCUAAGAACCCACAACCAUUGCUUUGAAGCAUUAAAUGGCUUUUAUAGUGUUGUUUGGGGUUAGAAUAUGUUAGAAUACAAUAAAUUUGAUUGAUUACAAUUGUUAGAGGUGCAUGAAGAGUGUUUAGAAGUGUGGAGAAAGACUUGUUGAAAUUGGGUCCUAAAUGGGCUAAAAAGUCGGAA